rnacentral:rRNA from 1 species
GACGAACGCUGGCGGCGUGCUUAAUACAUGCAAGUCGAACGCAAAGGCCGGGCUUUGCUGGGCUGGUUGAGUUGCGAACGGGUGAGUAACGCGUAGGUAACCUGCCUUGUACUUGGGGAUAACUUUUGGAAACGGGGGCUAAUACCGCAUAGGAGUACCUGUUGCAUGACGUGGGUUGAAAAGUUUCGACGGCUGGGGUUGGACACGGGGCUGAUCAGCUUGUGGGUGGGGUAGUGGUGUCGCAAGGCUUUGACGGGGAGCCGGCCUGAGAGGGUGACCGGCCACAUUGGGACUGAGAUACGGCCCAGAGUCCUACGGGAGGCAGCAGUGGGGAAUAGUGCACAAUGGGCGGAAGCCUGAUGCAGCAACGCCGCGUGGGGGAUGACGGCCUUCGGGUUGUAAACCGCUUUCGCCUGUGACGAAGCGUGAGUGACGGUAAUGGGUAAAGAAGCACCGGCUAACUACGUG